UACGGAGGAUGCAAGCGUUAUCCGGAAUGAUUGGGCGUAAAGCGUCCGCAGGUGGCUAUGUAAGUCUGCUGUUAAAGAGUGAGGCUCAACCUCAUAAAAGCAGUGGAAACUACAUGGCUAGAGUGCGUUCGGGGCAGAGGGAAUUCCAGGUGUAGCGGUGAAAUGCGUAGAGAUCAGGAAGAACACCGGUGGCGAAAGCGCUCUGCUAGGCCGCAACUGACACUCAGGGACGAAAGCUAGGGGAGCGAAUGGG
rnacentral:rRNA from 1 species